GUAUUUAUUCUUUGUAAUUUCGCAAGAGAUUACCAAGAGAUUUGAGAUUUCUCGUCAACGAGUAUCUUUAAAGCUAUAGCCUCUUUUGUGGUAAAACAACUCUGCAGAACAGUAUUUGAAUGGAACCUUGGUUUCUUUAAUGCCUAAUAUGCAGACUUACCUAUUGAAAAGGGGUCCAUAACCUUGAGGUGAUGCUUAGCAUUGCUUGAA
rnacentral:misc_RNA from 1 species